AUGCAGCAGGGGAGGAAGAGGAGCCGCCCGCGCAUCGCCGGCGCCCGGCCGGGGCCCUCCUCCUCGCCGACGCGCCGGGGCGGGACCAGCGGCGGCGGCGCCGGACGGAGGCUCCGGCUGCCGGUGCAGCUGGCGCAGGGUCCGCGGCCGCGGAAGCGGGCCGAGGCGAAGAGGGCACUCACGCGCUCCGCCUCCGAGCCGGCGCUCUGGUGGCGCGACGACGCCCGCGUCCACCCCGCGCCGCCCCACCCGCCGUCCCCGCCGCCGCCGCCGCUCGACCGACCGCACACCUGCUACGACGUCCUCGCGCCGGACUCUCCCUUCGCCUCCUCCUCCCUGCUGCUGCCGCCCGAUCGUCGCACGACCUGGGAGGCGAAGGUGGUGGUGAACGUGACGGUGGAGGGGAGCGCGGGGCCGGUGAGGGCGAUGGUCAGCCUCGGCUCCAGCAUCCGGGACGCCAUCGCCGCGGUGGUGGAGCGGUACCACCGGGAGGGGAGGAGCCCCCGGCUGGACCCCGCCUCCGCCGAGUCCUUCCAGCUCCAUCACUCUCACUUCUCCCUCCAGAGUUUAAACAAAAACGACAAGAUCGGCGAAGUGGGCGGCAGAAAUUUCUACCUGCACAAAACCGGCGGAAGCAACGGGCCUGCGCUUCAGAGGGGAGAACCUGGUGUGCAUUCAGGUGGUGGUGAAACUAGACAGAGCCAUGGAGGGCAGCUUGCCGGUGUUCCAUACCACCACCAGCUCCUCGCCAUUGUCAUGAAGAAGCUGGAUAAAAUCGGCAGGCGGACCAAAAGGCUUUGGAGGCUCCUGACCUGUGACUGCACAUGA
rnacentral:rRNA from 1 species